rnacentral:rRNA from 1 species
AUUGAACGCUGGCGGCAGGCCUAACACAUGCAAGUCGAACGAGUGGCGGACGGGUGAGUAAUGUCUGGGAAACUGCCUGAUGGAGGGGGCUAACUACUGGAAACGGUAGCUAAUACCGCAUACCAUCGGAUGUGCCCAGAUGGGAUUAGCUAGUAGGUGGGGUAAAGGCUCACCUAGGCGACGAGCCCUAGCUGGUCUGAGCGGAGGACCAGCCACACUGGAACUGAGACACGCUCCAGACUCUUACGGGAGUCAGCAGUGGGGAAUAUUGCACAAUGGGGGCAAGCCUGAUGCAGCCAUGCCGCGUGUAUGAAGAAGGCCUUCGGGUUGUAAAGUACUUUCAGCGGGGAGGCGUUACCCGCAGAAGAAGCACCGGCUAACUCCGUGCCAGCAGCCGCGGUAAUAC